GAUGAACGCUAGCGGCAGGCUUAACACAUGCAAGUCGAGGGGUAGAGGCUUUCGGGCCUUGAGACCGGCGCACGGGUGCGUAACGCGUAUGCAAUCUGCCUUUCACAGAGGGAUAGCCCAGAGAAAUUUGGAUUAAUACCUCAUAGCAUUACAGGGUGGCAUCACUUUGUAAUUAAAGUCACAACGGUGAAAGAUGAGCAUGCGUCCCAUUAGCUAGUUGGUAAGGUAACGGCUUACCAAGGCAACGAUGGGUAGGGGUCCUGAGAGGGGGAUCCCCCACACUGGUACUGGGACACGGACCAGACUCCUACGGGAGGCAGCAGUGAGGAAUAUUGGUCAAUGGGCGCAAGCCUGAACCAGCCAUGCCGCGUGCAGGAUGACGGUCCUAUGGAUUGUAAACUGCUUUUGUACGGGAAGAAACACUCCUACGUGUAGGAGCUUGACGGUACCGUAAGAAUAAGGAUCGGCUAACUCCGUGCCAGCAGCCGCCGUAACAC
rnacentral:rRNA from 1 species